rnacentral:tRNA from 1 species
GGGUCCACAGCUCAGUGGUAGAGCAUAUGACUGCAGAUCAAGAGGUCACCGGUUCGAACCCGGUUGGGCCCU